GAAUAGAACAACGGGAGCUUGUGUUACAGGCUGAGAGGAAGGUAGAACCUUCGACCGAUGACCUGAUUUGGAUAAUGCCAACGUAGGGAUGUUUAGGAAAUUAUGU
rfam:Clostridiales bacterium 41_12_two_minus Ley3_66761_scaffold_2327, whole genome shotgun sequence.